GCCGGGAUGGCGGAAUUGGCAGACGCGUGCGUUUGAGGGGCGUAUGGGGUUUCCCGUGGGGGUUCAAAUCCCCCUCCCGGCA
rnacentral:tRNA from 1 species